AGGUAGUGGCUGGUGCAUUUGCACUGAGAUCUAGAAGACAUUUUCUAUAGAUUGAAAGACUGAUUAAACUCAACAUUACAUGAAGACAUGAGAAAUGGGGCAAAAGUCAGAAGAAUGAGGCAUCUUCUGCAAGAGCAUCUCCUCAUAGCAGAAAAGGACAACAACAAAAAAAAAGCCAUUGACUGACCUUUGACCCCACAUCACGGCUCUUGACACGCAGCUUGUUGACCUGAGACUCAGCGAUGUCAGCUCUCUCUUCAGCUUCAUCAAGCUCAUGUUGAAGCUUAC